rnacentral:tRNA from 1 species
GUGACCGUGGUGUAGGCGGGAGCAUACCGGGCGUCGAUUCCGGUGGUGCCAGUUCAAAUCUGGUCGGUCGCC